rnacentral:lncRNA from 1 species
AAAAAUAAAAUUUAAUUGAAUGAUUGAUACUUUUAGAAGAAAAAAAAUCUCUUUCUAAAAACCUCUCGACUUUGAUCAAAUAUUGUCUUCCAGGUGAUCGACUCCGGUGGCUUCUCUAGCACCGGAGUCGGUCUAUCUUUUCCGUUUUCCUUCUUGUUUGUUUUGGUGAUGUGAAGAUCGGAGAUUCAAAGGUGGAUCGGCGGUUUGGCUCUUGGCCAGUCCUUUUCGCAGCAAGAGAGUACCGGCUCUUUCGAUUGUCGGUGUGGUUCAUCCAUUUAUGCAUGUUGUCUGCGGGUUGGUUCUUGAUCUUCCUUGUUUUGUACGCCGGUUCUGUUGCAAUCAGCCUUGUUUGGUGUGGAAUCGGCUCGUCCCUUGCUUGCAUGGCUUUGUUCUUCCUUGAUGAUUGCUUGUAUUCACUCCAGUUUCGAUCUUCUUCUAAUCUGAUCUCUUUGGAUUAGCUUUAUCUGGCGUGAAUCGGAUCGCUUCAUGUCUUAACCCAAGAGAUCUGGUCGAGAUCUUGCACUCUUUCAGUUCCUUUCUCGGCGUCUCAACGGUCGCUAUACUGCUUCCUCGCCAUCGAAAGUUUGGUUUAAAGCUUUUCAGUUCUGUCUUUCCGAAGCUGAAGCUGUGAACUGCAUGUUUAUAAUUGGAUUACGCUUAUUCACUAUUGGAGGAUUCGAUUAUCAUCAUGUUUUGUGAUAAUCUUCCGUCAGCAAUCGCAAGGAGUUUCAGUGACUUUUGCAUGUUCUGGGUUUGAGGUAUUCGUUCUGUUUUAAUGUCUUGAUUGCAUCCUUUGUUUAAUCUUUAGAUCUGUGUAAAUGUUUCCCUUGUCUUAGGGCUUCCUCUCCGGAAAAACCUUGGUUUUUGCCGCCUUUGUCUCCGAUGGUCCUUAGUAGACCGUCGGCUUGUAUUCCACAAACGAAUCCACCCUUGUAUCCUUGUUGUUCAAUAUAUUUUAAGUUUAAAAAAAAAAAAAAAAGAUUGAUACUUUUCAUUUACGUGGUAGUAUUAUAAAAGGAAUAUUCAAUAUUUUAAAAUUCCUCUACCGACUGAUCUAAAAUUGAGUGUAAAUCAUAUAUGGCUAGUAAAGAACAAAAAAUUUAAUAUGACGUCAAUUUUUUGUCUAAAUAACGGUAGUAUUAAAGAAGGAAUAUCAUUUCUUUUAAUUUCCUAUUAUACAUUAUAUUAUAAUUUAAUGUAUAUCAAAUAUCGUUUGAAAAUAUUAUAUUUUUUUUAAAAGAGUUUUUAAUAUUUUCUGUUUAUGUGGUAGUAUUAAUCUAUUAGAAAAGGAAUAUUCGUUUAUUUUAUUUCUUAUUAUUGAUUAUCUUAUAAUUUAAUGUAUAUCAUAUAUGAUAUGUAAAAAUUAAAUAAUCUAAUUAAUUUUUCAUAGUCUCUUUUCGUUUAUGUUUUUGUAUUAAAAGCUGAAUAUUGGUAUUUUUCAUUUUUUAUAUUUGAAUAAUACAUAGUAGAACAAAAAAAGAUUUAUAUCUAUUAGUUAAGAUAAUAGAUUUAUUUUUGUUACUAUAAAUUAGCUUAAACAAUUAGGAUGUUGUUAAAAUAUAAAUAUUCGUAUGUGGUUAUCAAUAAAUGUCAUUUUAAAAAUUGAAAGGAAUAUGGAGUUUGUGUUCGUAAGAUUGAUAUCAUUUGGUUAAUUUCAUAUGUAAAAAAUGGGAAUUAUAUUUCAAAUGUCCUUGAUUGUAGGUAUUUAUAAUUGGUUGAGUAUAACAUUUCAAAUACUGUACUUUAGUUAUAUUUUGUUAACAUUAUUAAUAUGACAAUCAUUGUUAUACAAACCAUAGUUUCAGUAUAUUGUUUGACAUGAAACUUUUUCAAAGAAAACUUGAUUCUUAUUCAAGAUUUGAAAUCAAUACAAACCGACAUGACAUUUUAUUUAGUGAUAUACAUAGAAAAAAUCUUAACAUUUUUUUUUUCUUGUAAAAGAGUUUCUUGUUAGUUUUUUUUAUAUUAAUAUCUAAUAUGGAGAAUAAGCGUAUAAUUGACUAUGAGACAUGGUCAAUUCGUGUUGAAUUUGUUCGCUAAAUUUAUGAUAAUUUUGUGGUUUAGGUUAUGCCUUGAAUCUGGAUGUUACAUUUAGGCGAUAGAUGUUACAUCACGUACAUCAUAUCGACUCGGUUGCAUCAAGAGUGUUGCAUCAAGUUAUUAUGGAUGUUACAUCUGAUCGUGGGCGUAGGCCUAUGAGUUCAUAAAGUCUAGGGUUUUAGAUACGGGAUGAUACUAUAUAUAUCUUGUAUUCGAAGUAACCCUAAACUUGCACUUUGGAAGCUCAAUAUCACCUCUAAUAAUAAGAUUUCUCUUUGCCCGUAGACGUAGCCCUAGGGGUGAACCACGUUAAAUAUAUGUAUCGUAGUUACAUCGCUUUUAUUCAUCUGUUUCCGCAUCUGUUCCUUCUCACGUCCGUUACAACAAACUGGUAUCAGAGCUCGGAGUUUGUGAUCUGAUGAGAAGAUGUCUGGAAUAAUCGCGAAGAUCGACAAGUUUGAUGGGAGAAAUAACUUCAGUUUUUGGCAGAUCAAGAUGCAGGCGUUGCUGAAGCAACAAGACAUCUGGG